rnacentral:rRNA from 1 species
UACGUAGGGGGCAAGCGUUGUCCGGAAUUAUUGGGCGUAAAGGGCGCGUAGGCGGCCAUUUAAGUCUGAUGUGAAAGUGCGGGGCUUAACCCCGUAAAGCAUUGGAAACUGGAUGGCUUGAGGACAGGAGAGGAAAGUGGAAUUCCACGUGUAGCGGUGAAAUGCGUAGAUAUGUGGAGGAACACCAGUGGCGAAGGCGACUUUCUGGACUGUAACUGACGCUGAGGCCC